rnacentral:hammerhead_ribozyme from 1 species
AUCAGGCUGACGAGUUCAAAAUAGGACGAAAUUCUCAUCCUAGAU